UACGACUACAUAUCAGGCAUAUCAAUAAGCGGAGGAAAAGAAACUAACUAGGAUUCCCUCAGUAACGGCGAGUGAAGCGGGAAGAGCUCAAAUUUGAAAUCUUCAAGGUUCUACCUUGACGAAUUGUAGUUUAAAGAAGUGUUUUCUGUUGGAGUUUUGGUAAAAGUUCUUUGGAAUAGGACAUCAUAGAGGGUGAGAAUCCCGUAUUUGACCAUUAUUUCCAGCUUUGUGAUACACUUUCAAAGAGUCGGAUUGUUUGGGAAUGCAGUCCAAAAUGGGUGGUAAAUUUCAUCUAAAGCUAAAUAUUGGCGAGAGACCGAUAGCGAACAAGUACCGUGAGGGAAAGAUGAAAAGAACUUUGAAAAGAGAGUUAAACAGUACGUGAAAUUGUCAAAAGGGAAGCGUUUGACACCAGUGUUGUUUUCUCGAAAAUCAAUUAAAAAGAGUUGGAUUUUGUGUUGUAUUGACCUUAACAGCUUGCUUCACUCUUUUCCAGCUUUUUUUAAUGCACUUUUCGUUUAACAAGUCAACAUCAGUUUCUUUUGUUGUAAAAGGGUCAUUGGAAGGUGGCUUUCUCUUCGGAGAAAGUGUUUAUAGCCUUUGAUCUCUGCAAUCGGAGAGACUGAGGUCUGCAGCGUAGAUCCUUCGGGGUUAGAUACAUUUGUGCUAAGCUACAGCUUUUCAUAGACAACUUGUUGACUAUGUUUAGUCUUGUGACUUACCCGCUUAUGCUAUUUUACCUACGCUUAGGAUGUUGAGCGCAUGUCUCUCUCU
rnacentral:rRNA from 1 species